CCUACGGGUGGCUGCAGUGGGGAAUAUUGGACAAUGGGCGAAAGCCUGAUCCAGCCAUGCCGCGUGUGUGAAGAAGGCCUUCGGGUUGUAAAGCACUUUCAGUGGGGAAGAAAGCCUUGGGGCUAAUACCCUCGAGGAAGGACAUCACCCACAGAAGAAGCACCGGCUAACUCCGUGCCAGCAGCCGCGGUAAUACGGAGGGUGCGAGCGUUAAUCGGAAUUACUGGGCGUAAAGCGCGCGUAGGCGGUCUGAUAAGCCGGUUGUGAAAGCCCCGGGCUCAACCUGGGAACGGCAUCCGGAACUGUCAGGCUAGAGUGCAGGAGAGGAAGGUAGAAUUCCCGGUGUAGCGGUGAAAUGCGUAGAGAUCGGGAGGAAUACCAGGGGCGAAGGCGGCCUUCUGGACUGACACUGACGCUGAGGUGCGAAAGCGUGGGUAGCAAACAGGAUUAGAUACCCCUGUAGUC
rnacentral:rRNA from 1 species